GGCAGUGUGGCCUAGUGGAAAGAGCAUGGGCUUGGGAGCCACAAGAACUGGGUUCUAAUCCUGGCUCUGUCA
rnacentral:tRNA from 1 species